CAAUACCAGCCAUUCAGGGGAAGGGAAGGGAUCCAGCAGUUUUCACUUACGUUGCCACAAGCUGCAGGCACUAAAAAUACACUCUGCAGUCCCAUCCUGAGUUCCUUCAGUGUCUCCAUCGCCUAGGAAGCCACCAACCAGCUUUCUUUUGUUAAUGUCUGGGAGACUGGAGCAACCACACAAGCUGUUAAAGGUGGCCCGACUUCAUCUUCUCCCCCCCCUUCAGACUCUUCAGGAGAGCUGAAGGGACAAGAGAGGCCUCGCCUACAGACAUUGGAGAUGAAGUGAGGAGAGAAACGGGGGCUCUCAGCCUGCAGCUAGGACAAAGAGAAACUCAGGUGUGAAUGAAGAACUAGCCAAUGGCAAGCUGAGUGGGAGUAGAGGUAAAUGGACCUGGGCAACUGGCAAACAGCACGGCGUCUGGAAGACGAGGGUCCAGAAGGUGCCAGCUUGUCUCUGUAGAAAGGAUGAAAGAGAACUCACCAUUCUACACUGCUGUUCAGCAUGAGCUCACAAAGGCAACACAAGAUGUGCCCCACAGUCAGAAGGCUGCAGCGUAUCUGAGAGCAUCAGGGCAGCAGAGGACAUGAAUGUCAGCGUCAUACAUGCACCUCCCAUCAUCCGCAAAAGCUGUAUGUAAGCCUUCUGGGCCCUUCCAGCCAUUUAGUUUGCUUGUGUUUUUGUCCUUGCUGAAUGAACACUAUGGAUCUUUGGAUCUUGCUUCUAGACAUGAAAAGAAUUCUAUGAAAGUGCUCAGAGUCUAAGUGCUCCCAUUCUUACUAAUUCCCCAUCAGAACAACACUGCUGCUACUCAACAGAGGAGGGCAUACUCCGCCGGCUGCCUCUUAGCCUCUCAUGCAUUCAAUGUUCUCCCUGAGGAUGAGGAAGGUGAUCGGAUGUGCCUCACAGCACAGGCAUCCUGAGGCAGGGGCAUGAGAAGGCUGGAGAGUAGGGUAAAGUAAGCUUCAGGAGGAACAUGAAUAGGUACUGACAAUUUACUGUAGCCACAGUUCCCAAUCUGGCCAGCUAGGAGCUCUGACCACUCCCUGCCUGCAGGCACAUCUUGCUGGUCCAUGGCCCAGACCCCAAGGCACCAAAACUCUGCCUGUAAAAAAAGCCAGAGGCACUUACCA